rnacentral:rRNA from 1 species
GACGAACGCUGGCGGCGUGCCUAAUACAUGCAAGUAGAACGCUGAAGAGAGGAGCUUGCUCUUCUUGGAUGAGUUGCAAACGGGUGAGUAACGCGUAGGUAACCUGCCUUGUAGCGGGGGAUAACUAUUGGAAACGAUAGCUAAUACCGCAUAACAAUGGAUGACCCAUGUCAUUUAUUUGAAAGGGGCAAAUGCUCCACUACAAGAUGGACCUGCGUUGUAUUAGCUAGUAGGUGAGGUAACGGCUCACCUAGGCGACGAUACAUAGCCGACCUGAGAGGGUGAUCGGCCACACUGGGACUGAGACACGGCCCAGACUCCUACGGGAGGCAGCAGUAGGGAAUCUUCGGCAAUGGGGGCAACCCUGACCGAGCAACGCCGCGUGAGUGAAGAAGGUUUUCGGAUCGUAAAGCUCUGUUGUAAGUCAAGAACGAGUGUGAGAGUGGAAAGUUCAUACUGUGACGGUAGCUUACCAGAAAGGGACGGCUAACUACGUG